rnacentral:rRNA from 1 species
UAAGAGGUGGUGUGUGAGAGCCGUUCUAUGGUAUUGGCAGCACUCGAUAUUUAUUUAUUUUGAACAAUUUCGGCACUCAUAAAAUAACAAAAGCAAGGAAAAGAAAACAAGACACUACCAUAUAUUCACCUUGUCUUUCUAUUGGAUUUCAUGCCUGGUCUUAAUUUCCAACAAGAAGAAAAUGGAACUCAUUCUCGAGAUAUAUUGGCCGAAUAGCCACAGGCUCGAAAGGAGGUUAUGUUAGGCACGGUAGACGUAUCAGAGGUGGAAGAUGGACUUUCUGUUUUGCAUUUCAAUAUAAAAAAAUCGGCAAAAGCAUUAUCAGGUAUCCCCUUCACUUACUGACUUCUCUCAUCUAUAUAUAGGCGCUAUACUGAAGGUACGUAGGAGCUGCAUAUCAAGCAACUGGCAGUUCGGCACAGUCAAGGCAAGAAGGCGGAGCUUUUCUUCAGAAAUCGGCAGCAUGGAACGAAAAGGGUCAUCGAUGUUUCCUGUUCUUGUGCUGCUUCUCCUGUCAUAUGUACUGCAACCAGCAUUGAGUUCAUCUGUUCAGGCACUAGAGCGGUUGUUCCAGCAUACAACUGACAGGGAUACCUUGCUGGCCUUCAAGUCAAGCCUAAGCAACCAACCGGAUGUCCUAGCUGCAUGGAACACUACUAGUGACUUCUGCCGGUGGCCAGGUGUCGUUUGUGGCGCUAAGCACACAGACAGGGUCACGGUGCUUAACCUCUCUUUGGAGGGACUUGUUGGCCCGAUAAUACCUUCCAUUGGGAAUCUCACCUUCUUGAAAAUUCUAGACCUCAGCUUGAACCAUUUGCAUGGUGAAAUACCUUCACAAAUUGGUCAUCUAUCUCGGUUACGAUAUCUUGACUUGUCCAACAACUCGCUUCAUGGUGACAUGAACGCUGGGUUGAAGAACUGCACCAGCCUUCAAAGCAUCAAUCUUGGGUCAAACUUGCUCACUGGAGAAAUCCCUUCAUGGCUCGGAGGCUUGUCAAGUCUCCGGACCAUAAUCUUGCAGAAGAGUAACUUCACAGGGAUUAUUCCGCCAUCACUGCCAACCUCUCAGCACUAGAAAACAUACAUUUAAGAUCAAACCAACUUGAGAGCUCCAUCCCCGAGGGCCUUGGCAAGCUCGGUAAACUCUUUUACAUUGACCUAGGAGAAAACCACCUGUCCGGCACUAUUCCUACAACUUUCUACAAUCUGACAAGAAGUAUUCUGGCGAAACGACACGGGAUGAAACCACGAAGAUGAACGAAUCCUCACGAUCGCAAUGACACGGGAACUAACAAGAAGAAGCACACACCAUGGUAAACACACCGCACAUGAACAAGGCAUGAUGCUCAACCAAGUAUGAGGCAUGACAAGGCUACUUGAAGCUACUCAUGGCAAGAGAUGAUGCAUACAAGAGCACCACAUCAAAGCAAGUUUAAAUGAGGCCGGAAACAACAUAUAACAAAUCCGUGUCAUCGAUGUUUCCUGUUCUUGUGCUGCUUCUCCUGUCAUAUGUACUGCAACCAGCAUUGAGUUCAUCUGUUCAGGCACUAGAGCAGUUGUUCCAGCAUACAACUGACAUGGAUACCUUGCUGGCCUUCAAGUCAAGCCUAAGCAACCAACAGGAUGUCCUAGCUGCAUGGAACACUACAAGUGAUUUCUGCCGGUGGCCAGGUGUCGUUUGUGGCGCUAAGCACACAAACAGGGUCACGGUGCUUAACCUCUCUUCGGAGGGACUUGUUGGCCCGAUAAUACCUUCCGUUGGGAAUCUCACCUUCUUGAAAAUUCUAGACCUCAGCUUGAACCAUUUGCAUGGUGAAAUACCUUCACAAAUCUCACCUUCUUGUAGUUACGAUAUCUUGACUUGUCCAACAACUCGCUUCAUGGUGACAUGAACGCUGGGUUGAAGAACUGCACCAGCCUUCAAAGCAUCAAUCUUGGGUCAAACUUGCUCACUGGAGAAAUCCCUUCAUGGCUCGGAGGCUUGUCAAGUCUCCGGACCAUAAUCUUGCAGAAGAGUAACUUCACAGGGAUUAUACCACCAUCACUUGCCAACCUCUCAGCACUAGAAAAAAUACAUUUAAGAUCAAACCAACUUGAGAGCUCCAUCCCCGAGGGCCUUGGCAGGCUCGGUAAACUCUUUUACAUUGACCUAGGAGAAAACCACCUGUCCGGCACUAUUCCUACAACUUUCUACAAUCUUUCUUCUCUGACCCGCUUCAGGGUGACAAAAUAAUGAGUUGCAUGGUACCCUGCCAUCUAACUUAGGGGAUCACCUCCCAAAUCUCCAGUACCUACUCAACAACUUUACAGGAAGCCUUCCAGCUUCUCUUGUCAAUGCAACUAAGAUAUACUCCCUAGACAUCUCAUUUAACAACUUCACCGGAAUAGUGCCUCCUGAUAUUGGCAAGCUUUGUCCAGACUUCCUCUCUCUAGAAACAAAUCAGCUCAUGGCAGCUACAGCUCAUGAUUGGAAGUUCGUCACGUUUUUCGCAAAUUGCACACGUCUACGCUUGUUCAACCUCCAGUAUAACAAGUUAGGUGGCGUACUGCCAAUCUCUUCUACCAACCUAUCAUCACAACUCCAGAUUCUAUGUGUUAAUCACAAUGAGAUUUCCGGAAAGAUACCAUCUGGGUUAAGUAAUCUUGGUGGGCUAAAUUAUUUGCAAUUAUCUGACAACAGAUUCACUGGUAUCUUGCCGGAUAGCAUCGGACAGCUAAGUUCGCUACAAGUCUUAGUCUUUAACGGAAACCGGUUGACAGGAUUCAUUCCCUCCUCCCUUGGGAACUUGACGAAGCUAUUACAACUUUACGCUGGCGAAAACAAGUUUGAGGGACCACUUCCAACAAGCCUAGGGAGACUGCAGGAGCUAACAAUAGCAACCUUUGACAACAAUAAGUUCACUGGUCCAUUGCCUAAAGAGAUCUUCAACUUGUCAUCCUUGUCAUAUGCUCUAGAUUUUUCAAAUAAUAAUUUCGUUGGCCCUCUUCCACCAGAAGUUGGCUUCCUCACACAGGUUACUUACAUACACAUCCACUGGAACAACUUACAAGGGCCGUUGCCUAAUACACUCAGCAAUUGUCAAAGCUUAAUAGGUCUUCGGUUUUUUUUUUCUUUUUCGAAAAGGGGGGACUCCCCGUAUAGGUCUUCAAUGGUAGCAUUCCUACAGCUAUCAGCAAAAUGCGAAGCUUGAUAUUGCUUUCUUUAGCAGAAAACACACUCUCAGGUGUGAUUCCUCGCGAGCUAGGGCUCAUGGCUGGCAUUGAAGCAAUGUAUCUUGCAUCCAAUAAAUUGUCGGGUCAGAUCCCAGAGGAUAUGGAGAACAUGACAUCAAUUUACCAUUUAGACCUGUCCUUCAACCAUCUAGUUGGCAAGGUUCCAUUACAAGGUGUGUUCAGUAAUGUGACUGGUUUUUAUUUUAUGGGAAUUUUGGGCUCUGCGGUGGCAUCUCAGAAUUACGUUUGCCCGCAUGCCCACCAGAAUACACGGAACACAGCUUACGGAUACACCAUGUCCUUCUAGCAAUAGUAAUGCCGGUUGUUGUUGGCAUCAUUAUAUGUUGUAGUUUGGCACUUAUAUUCUUCACAAUAAGAAGGAAACAAAGGGCUCAGUCCACCAGCAUGAGAGGAUUCAUAUUGGUAGAUGGAAAUUACCCUAGAGUUUCUUAUGCUGAAUUGCUCCAAGCAACAAGCUGUUUUGCAGCAGACAAUUUGAUUGGUAAAGGAAGGUAUGGAUCUGUCUAUAAGUGUGACCUGCUGCUAAAAAAUAUGAUGACCACAGUUGCUGUGAAGGUUUUUGAUCUUCAACAAUCUGGAUCCUCCAAAAGUUUUCUAGCCGAGUGUGAGGCACUAAGUAAUAUCCGCCAUCGGAAUUUGAUUAGUGUCAUCACUUGCUGCUCAAGCUCGGACUCAAACCAAAAUGACUUCAAAGCCAUUGUGUUUGAGUUCAUGCCUAAUGGGAGCCUAGACAGAUGCACUAGAUUACUUGCACAACUGCGAACCACCAAUAGUUCACUGUGACUUGAAGCCAAGCAACAUUCUUCUUGAUAGUGAUUUACUUGCUCGCAUUGGGGACUUCGGCCUUGCAAAGAUUCUUUUAGAUCCAGCAGCUGAGCAACAAAUUAAUUCAAAGAGCUCGGUUGGAAUAAGAGGAACAAUUGGAUAUCUCGCUCCAGAAUAUGGUGAAGGUGGUCAAGUUUCUACAUCUGGAGAUGUAUACAGCUUUGGAAGUGUCAUCCUCGAGUUGUUUACAGGCAUGGCACCGACGCAUAACAUGUUCAAAGAUGGGCUGACCUUACAGAAGUAUGCCAAGAAUGCAUUCCCAGACAUGUUAAUGAAGAUUGUUGAUCCAGCCCUACUGUCCUUUGAAGAAGCUUAUGUCAGAAGUUUGCAGGGUGGAAGCUACAAAAUGGAAGAUGUCUGCAACACCAUGUUCUCAAUCAUGGAAAUUGCAAUAUCAUGUUGCAAGCAAGCAUCAUCAGAGAGGAUGUGCAUGAGAGAUGCAGCAGCUUGGAUGCACAAGAUAAGAGAUAACCAUGUUGAAAGAAGGCAAAAUGAGCAAGUCAUUAUAACUGCAUAGAUGCAUUAUAUGCACCAUGCAGUAAGAAUAAUAUUGGCAAGACAUGUACAGUAUGUCACGCAUUCUGCUUGCCAUUUGAACCAGAAUAGCAUUUGUUUAACCUAGCAAUCAGACAUGGGUUACCACCUGUCCAAACUCCCAGGCGGGCAUGGAGCUAGAAAAUAUUGGCCUACUAUUUUGGGUUUUAAAUUUAUAUAUUGAAGUAUCUAUGAAGUAUUGUUACACUGAACCGGGUACAUAAAUUAAUAUUUAUCCAUGCAUUUUGACUAGUAGCCCUAGUCAUCUCACCAUGUUAGGUGCACGGGGUAGUAUUUUUAUGUAUUGUACGUGUGAUUUAGAAAUGUGACACACCCUUUGAAAGGUGUAAGGCCUGAAGCCUAGUAGUGACUGUAACUCCCGAGAGAGAAGCCUACUGGAUGAUCCAGCCCACUGUUGAAUACAAAAAGGC